rnacentral:rRNA from 1 species
UCAGGACGAACGCUGGCGGCGUGCUUAACACAUGCAAGUCGAACGGUGAAGCGGAGCUUGCUCUGCGGAUCAGUGGCGAACGGGUGAGUAACACGUGAGCAACCUACCCUUGACUCUGGGAUAACAGUUGGAAACAGCUGCUAAUACCGGAUAUGACCCUGGUGGACAUCCACUGGGGUGGAAAGCUCCGACGGUCAAGGAUGGGCUCGCGGCCUAUCAGCUUGUUGGUGAGGUAACGGCUCACCAAGGCGUCGACGGGUAGCCGGCCUGAGAGGGCGACCGGCCACACUGGGACUGAGAUACGGCCCAGACUCCUACGGGAGGCAGCAGUGGGGAAUAUUGCACAAUGGGCGAAAGCCUGAUGCCAGCAACGCCGCGUGCGGGAUGACGGCCUUCGGGUUGUAAACCGCUUUCAGCAGGGACGAAGGGUUUCUGACGGUACCUGCAGAAGAAGCACCGGCUAACUACGUGCCAGCCGCUGC